rnacentral:lncRNA from 1 species
AUUUUAUGUGGUGCUGAGGAUUGAACCUAGUGCCUCACAUGUACAAGGCAAGCAAGCACUCUACCACUGAGCCACAACCCAGCCCCAAGAGUUUUGAGUUCUUUAUAUACUCUAGAGAUUAGUGCUCUAUCUGAUGUGCUUGUGGUAAAAAUUUGCUCCUGUUCUGUAGGCUCUCUAUUCACCUCACUGAUUGUUUCUUUUGCUGAGAAGAAGCUUUUUAGUUUGAAUCCAUCCCAUUUCUUGAUUCUUGAUUUUAUUUCUUGAAGUUAGGGCCUCAUCUGACAUGAUGGAGAUUUGGGCCUAUUUUUUCUUCUAAUGGGUGCAGUGUCUCUGGUUUAAUUCCUAGGUCCUUGAUCCACUUUGAGUUGAGUUCUAGAAGUUUUCUGGUGGAAGUUUUUGGAUCCUCUACGUAUAGAAUCAUGUCGUUGGCAAAUACUGAUAGUUUGAGUUCUUCUUUUCCUAUCCGUAUCUCUUUAAUUUCUUUUGUCUGUCUAAUUGCUCUGGCUAGUGUUUCAAGAACUGUGUUAAAUAGAAGUGGUGAAAGAGGGCAUCUCAAUCUUGUUCCAGUUUUUAGAGGGAAUGCUUUCAAUUUUUCUCCAUUUAGAAUGAUGUUGACCUGGGGCUUAGCAUAGAUAGCUUUUACAAUGCUGAGAUAUGUUCCUGUUAUCCAUAGUUUUUCUAUGUUUUGAACAUGAAGGGGUGCUGUAUUUUUUCAAGUGCCUUUUCUGCAUCUAUUGAG